rnacentral:misc_RNA from 1 species
GAUGAAGAACGUAGCGAAAUGCGAUAAGUAGUGUGAAUUGCAGAAUUCAGUGAGUCAUCGAAUCUUUGAACGCACAUUACGCCCUGUGGUAUUCCGCAGGGCAUGCCUGUUCGAGCGUCAUUUCAACCCUCAAGCUCUGCUUGGUGUUGGGCCCUGCCCGCUGCGGCCGGCCCUAAAGACAGUGGCGGUGCCGCCUGGCCCUGAGCGUAGUACAUCUCUCGCUCCAGUGCCCGGUGGUAGCCUGCCAGAACCCCAACUCUCGUGGUUGACCUCGGAUCAGGUAGGGAUACCCGCUGAACUUAAGCAUAUCAAUAAGCGGAGGA